rnacentral:rRNA from 1 species
GACGAACGCUGGCGGCGUGCUUAACACAUGCAAGUCGAACGGAAAGGCCCUGCUUGCAGGGUACUAGAGUGGCGAACGGGUGAGUAACACGGGGGUGAUCUGCCCUGCACUUCGGGAUAAGCUUGGGAAACGGGGUCUAAUACCGGAUAGGACCGCACUUUAAUGGGUGUGGUGAAGAGUUUUUUCGGUGUUGGAUGAGCUGGCGGCCUAACGGCUUGUUGGUGCGGUAAUGGCCUACCAAGCCGGCGACGGGUAGCCGCCCUGUGAGGGUGUACGGCCACACUGACACUGAGAGGCGGCCGAGGCUCCUAAGAGUGGAAGCUGUGCGCAAUAUUGCACAAGGGGCGCCAGCCUGAUGCAGCGAGGCUGCGGGGUGGAUGAAGGUCUUCGGGUUGUAGAAAACUUGCGCGAUGGACGAAGCUUUUUCUGACGGUACCUAGAUAAGAAGCACCGGCUAACUACGUG